AUGGGGAACCAGAUCGGCACCGGCAAGAUGGAGGCAGAUCUGAUCGGCGCCGGGGUCGGGACCGGGAAGACGGAGGCGGCUCCGGUCAGCGCCGGGGUCAGCACCGGGAAGACGGAGGCGGCUCCGGUCGGCGCCGGGAAGAUGGAGGCAGAUCUGAUCGGCGCCGGGGACAAGCUCGGGAUCCCCGAGGAGAAGGGCCUGGAGAUCACCGCCGACCAGCUCGAGGCCCUGGAGAAGGCGUCUAUCGAUCUUGCCGUCAUCAAGCUUCGAGAGGCAUCUGAUUACUUCAACGCUGCUGGCUGCUUCGCGGCUGCGAGGCAGGUCUCCUAUCUGCCCGAACCAGAGCCCUUAGCCCCCGUGGUCAUACAGAAAGUGAAGGAAGCACCGAUGAUUGUCCAUGAUCUCUUCGAGGAUAUUAUCUUCCACCGCAUGAGCCCUCGCGCGAGAAUCCUUAGCGGUGUCUACAAGGCCACUCCUGCUCAGGUUCGAGCUGUCCAGCAGUUUACAAGGAAGCAACUCAAGUUGGACCCAGUGGUGGUGGAUCCUAUCGCCGCCGAAGUUCACCGGGAGUUCACAAGGACUGCAGGCCUGGGAGAGAACGUGAUGUCCGCCAGUGAUGUGGCCAGGAUCCUCAAGAUCAGGGAGGGUAUGUCAAGCCUCCACCCAGAUGAUCAGAAGAAGCUGGAGAUGAUCAAGAUCUUCGUGGACAACAUAAAUGCUGGCUCAGCUAUCUGCACGGCUGGUGGUUCCGUUUUGGGAGGCAUGUGGACUCUUCGCCAUUGGAAUACAAGUUUCCCCAUGUCCGACCUGCCGGAAGAUUGGGUUUGGUAG
rnacentral:rRNA from 1 species